AAAAAUCUUAGGAAUGUAAGGUAAGGAGAUGUGAGAACUAAACGUGAUGUUUGAUUCUGAACUGCAUCAUUUUGCUACAAAAUGCCAAUAUUGUGAUGUAUAUAAAUGUUUGUACCACACCAUUAUUUCCUGAUUUUGAAGGGUCUGCUGUGCCUAUGUAGGAAAAUUCAAAUUUAUGUAAGAUCUAUAUAUUAAAAUAUUGACAUAGUUUGCACCUGUGUCCCAACCCAAAUCUCAUAUUGAAAUGUAAUCCCCCAAUGUUGGAGGUGGAGCCUUGUGGGAGGUGAUUGGAUCAUGGGGGCAUAUUUUUCAUGAAUGGUUUAGCACUAUUCUCCUUGGUACAGUUCUAACACUAGGGAGUGUGUUCUCAUGAGAUCUGGUCAUUUAAAAGUAUGUAGCACCCCACCCCUUGCUCUCUUGCUCCUGCUUUCACCAUGUGAUGUGACUGCUUCCCCUUUGCCUUCCGCCAUAAUUGGAAGCAUCCUGAAGUCUCCCCAGAAACAGAUACUGCUAUGCUUCCUGUACCGCCUGCAGAACCAUGAGCCUAUUAAACCUAUUUUCUUAUGAAUUACCCAGUCUCAGGUAUUUUUUUAUAGCAAUUCAAGAAUGGCCAAAUACAGAAAAUUGGUACCAGAGGUGAGGUAUUGCUGUAAAGAUACCUGAAAAUGUUGACGUGACUUUGGAAUUGAGUAACAAGUAAAGGCUGGAAGAGUUUGGAGGACUAUGAAAAAUACAGGAAUAUGAGGGAAAGUUUGGAACUUCAUUUAGAGACUGAUUAAAUGCUUGUGGCCAAAAUGCUGAUAGUGAUAUGGACAAUGAAGUCUAGACUGAGGUGGUCUCAGAUGGAAAUGAGGAACUUAUUGGGACCUGGAUCAAUUGUCACAAAUUUUAUGCCUCAUCAAAGAGCUUGGCUGCAUUCUGUUCAUGUCUUAGGGAUCUGUGGAAGUUGAAUUAAAGAGUGAUGAUUUAUAAUAACUGGUAGAAGAAAUUUCUAGGAAGCAGUAUUUAAGUUUGGCUUGGCUGCUUCUAACAGCCUAUGUUCAUACACAAGAGAAAAGAAAUGACUUAAAGCUGGAACCUUAUUUAAAAGAAAAGCAGAGCAUCAAAGUUUGGAAAAUUUACAGCCUAACCAGGAGAAAAAUUCAAGGAGGCUUCUGAGUAACCCAAAGUGUAAGACAGGAAGUUUUUAUUGCUCUCUUUUACUAUUGAUCCAGGUGGAAGAUGGGGCUAGCCUCCUGCUAAGUGAAUCUUUGUUUCAAAUAGUAACAAGAUUUUUGAUCUAUGUAUCUCUUGGGUAUCUUUGCAUUCUGGCUGACAAUUCUAACAAGCUUUCAUAUAUGAUAGCAAUAGGUCAUUUUAGCUCUUUGCUUUUUUAGUCCACAGUGUGCAAUAUUUCAGAAGAGUAGAGAGAGCUUCUCCCUUCCAACAUUCAUUUCAAUACUUGGUAGUGGAGGAAAACAUGACUGAUCUUGUGAAACUGAAUUUCCCAUCACUGUACUAUCACUGUAUCUGAGGUUGCUCAGGGUGCUCCUUAUCUGUGUUCACAAGAAGUGAAUUUGCAUGCCAACAAUUUUGGAAACUGUAAAACUAGUUCCUAUAAUUUCGAGUACACAUUUUUAAACGUAUACAUUUUUCUAACGUUGGUAUGUGCGUGUGUAUUUCAGAGGGUCACUUAAUACAAAUGAGAGAUGUAGCAUAUACAGACGUGUCCUUUGUGCAAAGCUAGUUUGUCACUGGAAAAGUACAGAACUAAUACGACAUAAAGAUGAUGAUGCUUAAUAUACUUACCUUGGAAACCAUGUAUGUGUGUCUACAUUUUUACGAAAUUCAUGUGGUAGCAUAAAGGAUAACUCCUAUGUAAAAAAUGGUACUUUUUGUGGUCUAGAAAAGGUAAAUAAAAAUUUUACUUGAUACUAUAUGGUGUGUUUCUGCAUACGCAUAACAGUGUGAGUGAGAGAGAUAGGCAUCUUUACUGUUUUAUUACUGUUACACAUGUUUAUUACUGCAUGAUC
rnacentral:lncRNA from 10 species